UGAGGAAUAUUGGUCAAUGGGCGCAAGCCUGAACCAGCCAUCCCGCGUGCAGGAUGACGGCCCUAUGGGUUGUAAACUGCUUUUAUACAGGAAGAAAAAUCUCUACGAGUAGGGACUUGCCGGUACUGUAUGAAUAAGCAUCGGCUAACUCCGUGCCAGCAGCCGCGGUAAUACGGAGGAUGCAAGCGUUAGCCGGAUUCAUUGGGUUUAAAGGGUGCGUAGGCGGCUCGUUAAGUCAGUGGUGAAAUCCUGUCGCUCAACGAUAGAAUUGCCAUUGAUACUGAAGAGCUUGAGUUCAGUUGAGGUAAGCGGAAUGUGUAGUGUAGCGGUGAAAUGCGUAGAUAUUACACAGAACACCGAUUGCGAAGGCAGCUUACUAAACUGACACUGACGCUGAUGCACGAAAGCGUGGGGAUCGAACA
rnacentral:rRNA from 1 species